rnacentral:rRNA from 1 species
CCUACGGGAGGCUGCAGUGGGGAAUAUUGCACAAUGGGGGAAACCCUGAUGCAGCGACGCCGCGUGAGUGAAGAAGUAUUUCGGUAUGUAAAGCUCUAUCAGCAGGGAAGAAAAUGACGGUACCUGAUUAAGAAGCCCCGGCUAACUACGGGCCAGCAGCCGCGGUAAUACGGAGGAUGCGAGCGUUAUCCGGAUUUAUUGGGUUAAAAGGGUGCGCAGGCGGUUUGUUAAGUAAGCGGUCAAAGCCCGGGGCUCAACCCCGGCCCGCCGUUGAAACUGGCAGUCUCGAGUUGGAGAGAAGUAUGCGGAAUGCGCGGUGUAGCGGUGAAAUGCAUAGAUAUCGCGCAGAACUCCGAUUGCGAAGGCAGCAUGCCGGCUCCACACUGACGCUGAGGCACGAAAGCGUGGGUAUCGAACAGGAUUAGAUACCCCGGUAGUC